CGCCCUGACGGCGCACACAGAACCGUCGCCCGCACGCCGACGCCGACAUGGCGACCUUACGACUGCGACUAUCUGCGUGUGUCCGUCGUAGCCUCGUCGCCCAUGGGCAUUGGGACCGACUGGAGUAAGUGUCGCCAGGUGGACGGGGAAAGGGGGAGGUACCGGCGGCGGCGGCGGAGAGCGCGGCGGCCGGCGGAGGAAAGGGGGGCAGAGGAGUAGCGGAGCGCGGUAGAGGUUCGUUCACGGAGCCUCCCUAGCCGCUCCCUACGCAGGUGCUCGAAGUAGGUGGGGCGGCGGCAGCAGGUGGGGCUGCGGCGGUAGCCGGUCCCACAGUGUUAUCCGGGUAAAACGUGGCACCCCCGAAGUCGCUCCUAGCCACUACGAACAGUCAAUGUAUGUCCCUCAGUACAGUGCCCUGUGUGGCUCGAUCCUCUUCCUACACAACAAGUGUGACCACGAUAAGAACCACGUCUAGAUGGACCUGCUUGUUAAUAACCCCUUUUAUUACAUUAACCCUUGAUACGACACCAACCACAAUUCACGGUUCUAGAGUUUAUAUUCGGUCCUCUACUUACGAAAGAUGCGUAACCAUUGUUGUUACUCUAGUCUCUCAUGACGAGAUAAGUGGCUAGAAGAUUUGGAACACUGACGUGCCAAUAACCACUGUUAUUAGAGUAUUACCCCAGGACGGUACAUCGUGUACUGACGUUCUAACCGUCGUUAUUGUAGAAACGAUUAUUAUGAGAUAAACCACCGGUACAAUAACAACUUCUGACGUGAGUAUGACGACCCCGACAGCAACAGGUAGUUAAAACAGUGUAACCUAGUAAGAGUAAAGAUCCGCCUCCGAGACACCAACGUGUUCUACAAGGUUCUAUGUGCUACCAACGUCCACUAUCUCGUCUCGAAGCACCAGACUUAGAACUUCCAGAGUCCGCGUUGCCAAAGAGUCUGGUUCUCCAUGCCUCGGAUUCCUUUCGUAUAUCCUUUCAUAAAUACGGUCGGUCAUCAAGGGUCUCAUUGAAACUUCUGGCUGAGCGACUUGACCUUGCCCUUUAACUCGAUAACCUCAGAGGGAGACAUAGGAUAUACCACCUUAGAUAAGCGUGGAGUAAACUGGUUCCUGCAGCACCUUAAACGUUUAAGUCUUCAACCUUGUAGAGUAUUCAACAUUCAAUGGUUCGAGUAGACACGUGACUAACUCAACGUCCUAUCGUAGCAACCCUUAUAUACUCGAGUAAAAUAAAGAUCUAGAUGGUUUCUCUAUUCGGUUUAGGGAUAAUUCGUCUCUGAAAAGGUCCUUCCACCUAGUGUUAAGUGUCACUCGUAUAACUUUUACGGGGUCUUCAACAAAAGACCGUAGUGAUAUAAAGACCCUAGAUAUAAACGACCGAUAAUAUAACUAAAAUCAAACAAUAAAGACACGGUUACAACUAACAUAAUAGACGAAAUAACAUUCCGGAUUUGACUGAGAUACCUUACGAGUCAAAGUUAAGAGCAACAAGAAGAUAUGGGCUACGUACCUAUGUGGAAUGUCUGUCGCUCACUGGAUCACGGUCAGUUAGGUCUACUUUGGACCCAACACCUGUUCUACUAACAGCGUGGCUAAUAUCCCUUCAAAAAACAUUAUGGAUAUGAUCAAAAGAACGGAGGACCUACAUGUUAGGAACAUGAUAUCGAGUAUCAACAUUCGAUGUUAAGCUGUACCGGAAAUAAAACAAGUCUCUACAGAAACCUAGAGUCCGAGCUUCGACAUUCUAGACCUACGGCAAUAACACCUCUACGUGUAUCAGUGACAAACAUAGACGACACUCAAACAUUAAGCCGGAAGACGUGAGCUCAUCAAGUGCGAUCAAAACUUUGUUUAAGCUUGCUGG
rnacentral:rRNA from 1 species